UACAAUGUUUUGACUCUUCAUCUUAUUUUAAAUUUUUUACGAUUAAUAUUUUUAUUGUUACUAGAUGAUAAUAUAUGAAUAAUAUUUUAUGCUUGACUAAUUUUUUUAAAAUUUUUUAUAAAUUUUUCAAAUAAGAUGAAUGGUCAAACAUUAAACACGGAAA
rnacentral:pre_miRNA from 1 species